rnacentral:rRNA from 1 species
GAUGAACGCUGGCGGCGUGCCUAAUACAUGCAAGUCGAGCGAACAGACGAGGAGCUUGCUCCUCUGACGUUAGCGGCGGACGGGUGAGUAACACGUGUAUAACCUACCUAUAAGACUGGGAUAACUUCGGGAAACCGGAGCUAAUACCGGAUAAUAUAUUGAACCGCAUGGUUCAAUAGUGAAAGACGGUUUUGCUGUCACUUAUAGAUGGAUCCGCGCCGCAUUAGCUAGUUGGUAAGGUAACGGCUUACCAAGGCAACGAUGCGUAGCCGACCUGAGAGGGUGAUCGGCCACCCUGGAACUGAGACACGGUCCAGACUCCUACGGGAGGCAGCAGUAGGGAAUCUUCCGCAAAGGGCGAAAGCCUGACGGAGCAACGCCGCGUGAGUGAUGAAGGUCUUCGGAUCGUAAAACUCUGUUAUUAGGGAAGAACAAAUGUGUAAGUAACUAUGCACGUCUUGACGGUACCUAAUCAGAAAGCCACGGCUAACUACGUG